UAGUAACGGCGAGUGAAGAGGGAAAAGCUCAAAUUUUGAAUCUGGUGUCUUUGACUCCCGAGUUGUAAUCUAGAGAAGUGUUUUCCGCGUUGGACCGUGUACAAGUUCCCUGGAACGGGGCGUCAUAGAGGGUGAGAAUCCCGUAUAUGCCACGGACUACCAAUGCUCUGUGAUACACUCUCAACGAGUCGGGUUGUUUGGGAAUGCAGCUCAAAAUGGGCGGUAAAUUCCAUCUAAAGCUAAAUAUUGGCGAGGGACCGAUAGCGAACAAGUACCGUGAGGGAAAGAUGAAAAGCACUUUGGAAAGAGAGUGAAACAGUACGUGAAAUUGUUGAAAGGGAAGCGUUUGAAGUCAGUCACGUCUGUAGGAAUUCAGCCUGGCCUCUGCCUGGUGUACUUUCUGUCCGACGGGUCAGCAUCAAUUUCGACCGAGGGAAAAAGACGUGAGGAAUGUGGCUGUCUUCGGGCAGUGUUAUAGACUCGCGUUGUAUGUCUCGGUUGGGAUUGAGGAACGCAGCGCGCCUAUUGGCCGGGGGUUCGCGCCCCUCGGUACGCGCUUAGGA
rnacentral:rRNA from 1 species